rnacentral:rRNA from 1 species
AUGAUCUCGGCCGUCCUACCCGCUGCUGCGUCGCCGGCCGUGAACGUCGCCAGCGUGCGUACUCACGUUCCCGUCACCCUAGACCUCCAUGCUUCCAACUUCACCAAGUGGAGGAUGCUGGUUCGCGUCCUUCUCGGCAAGUACGAUCUGCUCUCCCACGUCAACGAUGUCACUGCCGAGGCGGACCGCACCCCGGACUGGACUCGUGAGGACUAUAUUGUCCGCUCGUGGCUUUACGGGUCCAUCUCCGACGAGAUUCUGGACAUUAUUAUGGCGGAGGACCAAACUGCUCAGGAGGCCUGGACGCUCAUCUCCAAUCUUUUCCUGGACUAUCAGUUGACCCGCGCGGUCUACCUCGAGGCGGAAUUCCGCGGCCUCGCCCAAGGCGAUCUCUCCAUCACCGCCUACUGUCACCGUCUAAAGGCACUCUCCGACGCCCUGAGCGAUGUCGGCACUCCCGUCUCCGACCAAACUCUCGUCCUCAACUGCCUUCGAGGGCUCAAUCCGCGCUUCUCGGACAUCACGACUAUCGUGACUAUGCAGAACCCUCUUCCGUCUUUCAGCCAGACGAGGUCCCUGCUGACUCUCCGCGAGACUCAACUCGCGAACUCCAUCGCGAUUGGGAACCAGACUGCCCUCUAUGGCAGUACGCCCUCCCACGGCACCGGCGGCUCCAACUCCUCUGGUCACCACCGCGGGUCGGACCGCGGCGACGGCGCUCGACACGGCAACAACAACGGGGGCAGCCCCUCUGGUGGGAGCCGCAACGGCGGCAACUGGAAGAAGAAGAAGUCCGGCGGCGGCGGCAACACUGGCGGCGGAUACAGUGGUGGCGGCCGCUCCAGUUCUCUCGACAACAACUCCCAGCGCGGGGCGUCCUCCUCGAUCGGCCCCUGGGUCUGUUUCAACCCGUAUACGGGGCAACAGUUCCAGGCGGGCCGCAGCCGUUCCAGGCCCCCAUCAUGA